AAUUUCUAAUUGUCAUGGUUUUAUGAUUUUUGAUUAUCGGUAUUCCACAUCAUAACAUCAUGCAGUGUACUGGGAGUUAAAGAGCAAAUGCUCUAGUUCCGGGUACUUGUCCAGAAGAGAAGAACUACGUUCCCCAGAAGACUGUUUGAGUACUGUUAUCAUUCCUGCUCAGGGGAACAGAUAUAAGGCCUGUAGGUCACCUGAGCUGGGUCCUCUUUUCUUCUCGUCCAGUUAGAAUUAAGAGAGAAAAACCUUAUGUUUCAGGAAACUUUCACAGAUUCUCAACAUCAUUUUCCAUUCUGCAAAGGUAAGAUCAUUCAAAGUUUACUACUGAGAAAGAGUAAAAGAAAAUUACCCUUUAAGAUAGUUUAGAGUCCGUAGAUAAGUCAUUAAUCCAUGCUUUCAGUGAACUGUGGAGGCUUAAGUAUGGCCAGGAACGAGUAUCUAGCUUUUCCAGAAGUCCAAUGAAGUUGUAUGGUGAUACAAACAAUGAUCAAACAAACAAAAAACAGUUCUCAGACUACUGUUGUAAUACUCUGUAAAUCUUUAGUAUAGUGCUAUAAGGAUGAGUUGUUUGUAAGCAGUUCUUGCAUUUAGCUAAGGACUGAAGUUUGUCUAAAUAUUUAAUUACUGCUUUAGAAUUAGCUGUUGAAAAUGAUUAGAUUAAAGAAGCCAUUAUAUAUUUAAAAGCUCCAGGAUUAGAUGCUUUAAUUUGUGAAGAUUUUAAACACUUUCUGGGAUUCCUUUCUUAAAAUUUGUAUCUUAGAGGUAAAAAUCUGCAACUUAUAAUAACUUUAGAGAUGGUAUUACAUAAAGAAUAAUUAACCGAUCCUCAAGUCUUAUCAAGACUUAUUCCAUUCUUCCAGUUAAUUCCCUCUUUGGUCUUGAUCAAAGACAUAACCAGGUUAUUCUUGGGGGCACCAUAUGAAUAUUGCUCAUGCAGGGUCACUGGGUGCAGGAUUUAGCCCACUAUUUUAAGACUUCAGGAGAAAAGCUUCUUCCUAUGUAUUUUGCACUUUCCACAUUAAACAAAAUGUUAAUUUGACUGAUAGGUACUGUAUAAUACCGUGUAGGAAACACUGCAAGUAGUUGUGUGGGAGUAGUAAAGGAGACAGUAGAGAUGAGUAUAGGCAUUGCAGAAAGUGCCCUCAUUUAUAUUGGUUUAAACUUGGUUGUGGAACAAAUCAAGGCAAAGAUUUCUGUCUGAUCUGAAUAGAGAAUUUUGUUUUGCUUAGCUACACACUCUGAAGAUUUUGAGCACUAAAGAUUAGUUGCUUCAGGAAGUAGCGAGUGAGCUAAAUUUAUCUUUUUGGCAUUUGUUUAUUUGUUUUGUUUUAACACAAUGUUGCAGCUACCAGCUAUUUUUGUGUGAACAUUGAAGCUACAGACAGAUAUAGAAGUACUUUUAGUUUGGAGGGGAAAAAGCUUUUAUUCUGAAUCAAAGCAUGUUCAUUACUUCAUUAUACCACUAAAUGGAAAUUAGUCCUUGAUUUUGGCUCAUUUCCAAUAUUUUAAAGUCCAUUGGUGGAAUACAAAAGUAAAAACAAUGAAACAUGGAGUUCCUGUUAAUUUGCCAGCUUGGCUAAUAUUAGCAGCAUGGUUUCACUGUGAUCCAAAAUAUUUAUUUCAAAAUGGAAUUAGUCUUCAGUUUUCUGCCAGCUUUCAGUAACAAAGUGAAGGGUCUAUGUCUUUCUAAGCCUGCUAAAAUCAUUUAACCGUCAGCCAAAUGUGCUAUUUUACUCUUUUUUUUUUUUCUGUGAAACAAACCUGAGAGCAAAUUCUGCUUUGCUAGCUAGAAGUGGUAUAAAUUCACAGUUUGUUAUGCUUUUAAUUGCCCUGAGCUGCUUUGCUCUUGGCUUUCUACUAACACGCACAAUUUACAGAAUAUAAUUGUUUGAAUUUCACCAAACUGUAAAACAGCCAGUAACUCUACUCAUGAUUAGAGAACAGUAGAACACUAAUGUGAUCAAAUUAAAUCUUCCAUGAAGAGGGAAAACGUAGAAUGAAAAGAGAAUGAAAACUGACAAGAAAGUCUAUUUCUCAGAAGAACGUGGGUCUUACCCUUGUAAAAAUCUCAAAGAAAACUAGUCCUCAACUCCUGUGUUCUGUCAACACUCAAAAUCUUAAACCUAACUUGAAUGAUACCACCUACAUUUUAUCACAUCGCAAGUCUAACUAGUAAAGAUCCUUUGAUAUGUCUAGCUACUGCUCUAAGACAAAUCAUGUGUAUAUUUGAGAAUGUAAUGCUCUUGAAUUUUUAAAAUGUGUGACUAUUCUCCCUUGCAUCUGCAUCCGAAACUUAAUCUAGUUUCUCACUUUUGACACUCUACAGAUUUAAAAUUCACUUGGCUCCUGCUUGCUUAAUACUACAAGAAAUAAAGUACUCUUGGGAGUUCUGCCUGAAGGAAUAGUUCAGCAGUGACCCAGAAUUAUCAUCUAAGGAGCAAUAAUAAUAUAAAUUUUAGUUUAAUAGAAAACCCAAAAACCAAGCCCUAAUUCUUCAUUACCCAGUGCAGACAGGUUUGCCAGCCUGAUGUGAUUUUCCUCUGAAAAAAACAUUUCAAGUGAUAUAAUUUCCACAGCCAACUUUAUAACCAUACAUAAAUCUUCUCUACAUAGUGUUAUGAAACAAUGGACUAUUUUCUUUUUAAAAAGGUAUAAAAAUAGUAUUAAAGUAACAGGAACCAAAUAUGUGGUGAUCAAUACAUAAUGGAAUCCAUUUUCUACAGCUGAGUGAAUCCUCACAUUAUUUUUUGUUACAAAUUAGUUGAAUAUGUUCUUUAAGUUAUGGAUGCUUUUUCCACUCAUCCUGGAUCAGUCCUUAAAAGCAGUAGAAAUUUUCAGUUUCUUAUUUCGAUUUGUAACUAGUCAUCUAUACUUGUGGAAAUCCUCAAUACAUCCAGCAAUAUAAACUGACACUCCAGGAGAUAAAACCAAAAUUAUUAGUGCCUGGUCUUCACCUAAUUAACCAUGUCAUGGCUUGGCAGGGAUAAAGUUAAUUUACUUAGCAGAGGCUCAUGCCAUGACAUUUUGGAUUUUUGAUCAAAAUAGUGGUGACAGCACACUGAUGUUAUAGUUGUUGCUGAGCAGUGCUGUACAGAUCCAAGGACUUUUCUGCUGCUUGUGCUGCCCUGCCAGAGAGGGGAUGAAGACCACAAGUAGUUGGGAGGGAACACAGACAGGACAGCUGACCCAGACUGGCCAUAGGGAUGUCCCAUACCACAUGGCAUUGUACUCAACAAUAAAAGCUGGGGCAAAGAAGGAGGAGGGGGAACAUUUGAAAUGUCAGCAUUUGUCAUUCCAAAAAAACACUGCAUGAUGGUUCCUGUUCUCCUGGGUGAGGCUGGACAUCUGCCUUCCAAUGGAAAAGUACAACUGAAUUCCUGGCUUUGCUCUGCUUGCGCACACAGCUUUUGCUUUAUUUGCUGUGCUGUCUUUAUCUCAACCCAUAAGUUCUUUAUACAGUUAUUUUUCCAAUUCUCUACUCCAUUUCCCAUAGAGAGAGCUAGCAAAGAGAAUAUUCAUAAAAUCAUAGAAUGGCCUGGGUUGAAAAGGACCAUAAUGAUCAUCUAGUUUCAACCCAAUGCUAUGUGCAGGAUUGCCAACCACUAGACCAAGCAACCCAGAGCCAGAGAGCCCAGAGCCUUGAAUACCUCCAGGGAUGGGGCAUCUACAACCUCCUCAGGCUCCAGUAUGUCACUACCCUCUGUGUGAAAAACCUCCUCCUAAUACCUAACCUAAACCUCCCCUGUCUUAGUUUAAAACAAUCCCCUUUGUCCUAACACUAUCCACCCUUGUAAUCAGACAUACCUCCUCCUGUUUAUACUGUUUAUAUAUUGUAAACUCCUGUUUAUAUAUUGUUAACAUAUAUAGCAGAAAUGCUAAGUCAUGGCCUGAACAAGGGAUUGAGCACCUGGUGGGAAGGCAGGGCCACCCCAGGGGAGCUCAGGUGCAUGCAGUGUACCUGGGUGACUGGAAGGGAUGGAGCCAGGAGCCACCUCUUCCCAAACCUCACUUAAGGGUUGGCAGUGGAGGUAAAGGCAUUUCUUGCUGGAGAUCCCUGCUCACCUGAGGACUUCCAAAGGUAAAUAACUUUUUUUCCUUUAUUUCUGUGUCCACAGAUUCUGCAUGUGGGCUGAGCUUCUAUUUUAAGUCAUCAUAGUCAUUACUGACAAGUCCCGUAGCUGUUCCUUUUCUUUACUGUUGCCACAGGACCCAAUAAUAUUACCACCUGAUUCCAUAUCAAUCUGCCAAUAGAUACAGAAUACUAUGAAGGACAAUCAUAUUUUCAUGAAAUAUUUCCUGAAAUUGUGCAUCCUGGUGAAUGUCCUGUCUUUUUGUAUCUCUGUGACACAGGCACAUGCCAUAACAUGCUGUCAUGAAGGAAUUUCAUUAGAUUUCAUAUGGUAUCAUAAAUUCUUAGCUGCAAGGCAUCAGAAUGGCUGGCAGCCCCAGUUACAGGAAUUGCAAGUACAGACGAGCACAUGCAUCCAUAUGUGAGCAGACACCGCUGUUGUUCUUGGCUUGCUGGUUAUCGCCAAUUAGCUAGAUACAAAAGUCAUGAAGAGUAUCCUUAAUUUUGGAUCAGAAUAUAACAAGCUACAUAGCUUCCCUUACACUGCCUUAAUUCACCUCUCUAGAACACCACUGUUUUCCUUCCUUAGAGCUGUUGUAUUAAUACACUAUAGAUCAAGAUAGCGUUCAAACCCAAGAGAUUUGGAUAGAGCUGUCCUGCUGAUAUUGAUAUUCAUGGACCCACAAUGUUCAAAUUCUCUGCAGAGCCCUGUAUGUCAACCAGAACCCUUCCACCUCUAUCUAUGCACUUCCAAAGUCUAUUUCAAAGAAAGAAUCAGUGACAAAAGGUUGCUUUAUUUUACUACAGAAAGGACCUCUCAAAACUACCUUAAAAUUGAAGGUUUAUAUCAGAUAUGGCUUAGACGUUGGUCAAACAUCAAGCUUUCCCAUGGCCAUUAAUUAAAAGCUCUUUGUCUUCUCUGCUACAGUCCACUGUAAUACAAAGACUGGCCCAAUUGCUUCUGACCCAGCUGAGAACAAUCCUGCAGACCAGUGCUAGUAAAACUGAGUACCAAUUGCCUGACUACACUCUUUGCAGAAAACAUGCAAAGGAUUUGCAAGUCAGCCACAGUCACAUCCUGACCUUUUGAAGCAGGCAAAACAAAGUGAGCAGCACUGAAACACACACAAAGCUUCAAGAGCUGUAGGUUUUGGUGGGGAGGAGGGGAAGGAUGGCAGGAAGAAAAUGUUUUUAUAUAAGUAGACACCAAAGACAGUCUCUCCUCUGGUGAAUCUUGUCUAUACUCUCAGGAUUAGCCCAUCCAGGUAAAUAUUCAGUGAUUUCAGGAAUUGCAAAUGCAGACAUAGUGGAUAAAAAUGCUGAAUGUUACUACACAAUCACAGUCUUUGCUGCAUUUCUGAGGACUCAUCUCAAAAAGCAAUAGCGCUUUCUCAAGGAGAAUGUUAACUUAGCUUAACAAAGAGGAUUGUAUUGAUUUGGCUAGCAAACAAAGAUUCAAACACAAACAUUCCUAGAAAUAAGGCAGCAUUCUCCUGUCCCUUUCUGUCUAAAGGAAGAACAUAUCAUGUGUUUUUCAGCAAGAGAAUUUGUGGUACUACAUGAUGGCACAGGUGUAAAGGAUUUCAUGUGGCCAUGGCAGAGAAGCUUAGUGAAUUCCUGCACAUUUGGGCAGGGCAGCAAGUGCAUAGGAACUGAUAAAUGAGUUUGUCCUGAGACUGGCAAUUGAAUGGGAUGAAAACCAGCUGAAGGAAUAUUAUACUAUGCUAUCCUGAUUAUAUAAAAUGAUAUUCUAGGGCUGGUGUUGUUAAUCUCACAGCUAAAGCUUCAAUUACACACAAAAGCAGUAUUUAGCAGUAUUAAGACACAGUGGUGGCAUACCAAGUCAUACAAGCAGAAGGUGCGCUGGCUCGUUAUCAUGCACCAGCUGGCCUGUCCCUACAGCACUCGCCACCUUCCAGGCCCCCAGCCACAUAAUGCAGCAACACAAGGAAAGUCAUGCCCUCUGGGGAUGAAAGUACUACCCUCUGGGGAUAUGGGUGAAGGUCCAUGCUCUUAAUUCUGGAGAACUGUUUUUUGCCACCCAGGAAACACUUAGCAGUGCAGAGCAGGCUCCACACACACAACUUGUUUGUCUCGGGCUCAAGCAGGCUCUUCUCUUCCCUCCCAUCAGCAGUCAGAUUUGCCAUCAGGUGUCCUCCACAGUCUUAAAAUAUCCUUAGCCAAACAUUUACCAUAGACUGUG
ensembl:lncRNA